UGAUGACAAUUUCUCCGGAAUCUCUGCAUCUUUGUGAUGAUUCCCUUGAACCCCAUAUCCUGAUGACUGUUCAGUUUACACU
rfam:Xenopus laevis strain J chromosome 4S, whole genome shotgun sequence.